AUUGAACUCUGGCGGCAGGCCUAACACAUGCAAGUCGAACGAGCGGCGGACGGGUUAGUAAUGUCUGGGAAACUGCCCGAUGUAGGGGGAUAACUACUGGAAACGGUAGCUAAUACCGCAUACCAUCAGAUGUGCCCCGAUGGGAUUAGAUAGUAGGUGGGGUAACGGCUCACCUAGGCGACGAUCCCUAGCUGGUCUGAGAGGAUGACCAGCCACACUGGAACUGAGACACGGUCCAGACUCCUACGGGAGGCAGCAGUGGGGAAUAUUGCACAAUGGGCGCAAGCCUGAUGCAGCAAUGCCGCGUGUAUGAAGAAGGCCUUCGGGUUGUAAAGUACUUUCAGCGGGGAGGCGUUACCCGCAGAAGAAGCACCGGCUAACUCCGUGCCAGCAGCCGCGGUAAUUC
rnacentral:rRNA from 1 species